AGUGAACGCUGGCGGUAGGCCUAACACAUGCAAGUCGAACGGCAGCACAGGAGAGCUUGCUCUCUGGGUGGCGAGUGGCGGACGGGUGAGGAAUACAUCGGAAUCUACUUUUUCGUGGGGGAUAACGUAGGGAAACUUACGCUAAUACCGCAUACGACCUACGGGUGAAAGCAGGGGACCUUCGGGCCUUGCGCGAUUGAAUGAGCCGAUGUCGGAUUAGCUAGUUGGCGGGGUAAAGGCCGACCAAGGCGACGAUCCGUAGCUGGUCUGAGAGGAGAAUAAGCCACACUGGAACUGAGACACGGUCCAGACUCCUACGGGAGGCAGCAGUGGGGAAUAUUGGACAAUGGGCGCAAGCCUGAGCCAGCCAUACCGCGUGGGUGAAGAAGGCCUUCGGGUUGUAAAGCCCUUUUGUUGGGAAAGAAAUCCAGCUGGCUAAUACCCGGUUGGGAUGACGGUACCCAAAGAAUAAGCACCGGCUAACUUCGUGCCAGCCGCCGCCGUAA
rnacentral:rRNA from 1 species